UAAAAUCUCCACCCAAGGCAGGGCUUAUCCACCAUUUUCUGAUCAUGCAAUGUAUGUCAGAGCAUGAUGCCCCAUUGCGCAAACACAAAGAAAAUUUCGCCUAAACAUGCUUGUACAUCAUUUCAUUUUCUGCCUCAGCUUCUAAAAUGACAGGAGCUGAGCCUCAGGGAGCUAGCACGGAGAUCCCUUUGCCGUAAACUGCUCCCUUGCUUUGAUUGAGCCACAAGCCUAUUAAACCUUCCCUGAGAAAAAUGUCUCUUUGGCCUGGUGUUAAUUUCUACUUAUGUGAGAGCCAAAGAACUUGAGAUACAAGCUACAGUAACAGAAUUCUUAUUCUUAUUUAUGUUUACUGACUAGAGUAAAAAGUAAAGAUUGCUGAGGGUUUAAUAGCAUCAAGAGUUAAGCCACAGAAGAAUUCCUCUUCUACUGAAACAGUAGGAUAAAGGCCAAGAUGAAUUUAUGGAUGAAUCCUACAAAGCUAUUGAGGAAAAAAUAAUACCAGUUCUAAACAAAUGGUUCCAGAAUAUUGAAGAGGAGGGCUUCCCAAAAUCAAACUUCAGUUUCAAAAUUGCCUUUCCUGACGCCAGGCUUUUCCGAUGCUUCAGAAGGGCCUCUGGAGUAUCCAGAAAAGAGGUCUGAUAACUUUGAAGAUUAUGACACUGGAAUAAAGGGAAAUGUACAGAAUUCAUGAAGAGCUAAAAUGUUCAUGAAUAUCAAGGAAAAGAAGAGCUAACUGAAUGAAUUCAGAAAACUGAAGCAAUCUUUUUGACUUUUGCUUGGAAUAUUGCUGAUCCUUGUUUUGUUUUUCAGAGUAAAGGAAACAUUUUGGACUAUUUACAGCCUUUAAUAAUUGAGUAAGGUAUACUCUUGUGAACAAAAUUUAGAGCAUGUUUAUUUCUCUCUGCCUGGUUCCUCUAGAAUUUGGAAACUAUCUGUGUGUAUUCUUAACUUACGGCAAUAUAGUUGUUUGCAUCAGUGCAAUAAGAAUUCAUUUUCUUUUGCAACAGGAUGCAAUUAAAGAAACUGGUUGUUUUACCAAGGCUUUGACUGGAAGGGUAUGCUUCCCUUUAAGCAGUCAAACUUGACUUGCAGAGCCAAUAAAAGCCCCUUGGGAAAAAACUGGCCUCACACCGUUGUCUGCACAGCCCCAUACAGGGUUCCUGACCUGUGGUCAGUAAAGAAUGUCACUUUCUAACAGGCCAGGAGUUCCAAGUAUAUCUUGGGACCUUAGAAGGAGAGGAUUACCCAACUCAGAGGUAUUUGAGGAUACAAAUCCAUGGCUGGGCCUAGCUUUAAAAGGUCUUAUCUGAGAUUCCUUGUGGAACAGAGUACCAUCAAAGCCAAUCUAGAAGUCCUAUGUAGAAAUAGUUAUUCUUGCUGUACUUUAUGCAAAAAAUCAGGCCAAGUAUAAGACUAAAGUCUAUUUUGCAAACAACUCAGUCCUAUCAUGAUUUGUUUUUUUAGCAAAAAUGAGGACUGGAGAGAGAGAAAUUAUGUUUCAAAAUUUAUCAUACAUUUGUCAUUACUUUCUAAACUCAUUAGUUGUUUUUAAGUUUUUGCCUACAUUUUAGACUAAUCCUGCUUGUUCCUAUGAACCAAGCAGCAUUCUCCAGAUGUGGCUCAGAAGGAAGAAAAGGGGAUGGGUAAUGUAAAAAUCUGGAUCAAUAUUCUAGUUCUGAGCAAUUAUCUUGCAAAUCCGGACAGAUGAUGGGAAUAAAUAAGGUGCCCAUCACCUGGAGGUUUCUUUUUUGGGAAAGUAAGACCAAGGGAGCUAGCCAAAGCCAAGCACAAUGCACCCAAAUCUUAGCAAGCAUAAUGAUAGCCACCAGUUAUCUGGGCAUGUCAUAAGACAUCCUUUUCUCUCCCUUGUUGGAGGAAAACUCAGUUCCACAGUGUUACCUUAGCAUUCAGCUUACGAUAAGGAGUCCAUGCAACACCCCUGAGACACAUUUUGGUCCCAAACUCAAUUCCAAGCUUUGGGUCAAAGCACUAGGAAAGAAAACUGGAUCCAGAGGCUGACAAUAAGGGAAGUUAAAAGGCACAGUGCAGGUGAGUGUGGCUGAUUCCUGCCAAUUAAGCCAAGCUUCCCAUUUCAUGGAUAAAGUCUAUGCUCACAUCCAUGACAUAAAUGAGGUCUAGGGAAUUCAAAGGCUACUGACAGCAGGGGAGACAUAGCAUAUGUGGGUAAGAGCAGAUACUUCCACCCUCUAGGCUCCCCUGUUAACAUGAGUGAAAGCCACUAAAACACCAAUGGGUGGUACCUGUCAUGGUUGCCAGGACUCAGGGAUGCAAGAACAGAGGAAAGAAAGAGGAAUGCCUCACUUUCCCUCCCUCACAUAUCCCUGGUAUUUGCUAGUGAUGCCUGCUCUCCUUUUUCUAGAUGAGUAGCCAUUCAUCUUCAGUCUGUACCCCUUUCAAAUGCAUCCUGAACUCCUGGGACUCCUUUGGAAAAAAACCUUGUUUUUUCCUUUUUCCUCCUAUCUCCUCUCUUCGCUGAUAGGUAAUUGUGUCUCUGUACUAUGGGAGAUUCCCCUCAGAUGCAUCCUCCAAACUGGGAAGAGUUAAUUUCUCAAACCUUAAACUGGUCAGCUUAGGAUUGGGCUCAGGGGAAGGGAACCUAGAAGCCUGACAUACCAGCAAAAGGGUAAAAGUUUUUCUUACCAGUCAGGCUUUUGGCCCUCCCUUCCCUGUGCAAACUGGUAAAAGGCCUUGGGAUUUUUGAGCUGUCCUUACCACCUACCCCACAUUUUAUUUUGAUACAUAUUUUCUAAUAACCCUGUUUGUGUCUUCUCACCUUCAGGCCAUCAAACAAACUCCAAAACGGUCAUGCAACCAGAGCUUCAGACAUUGGCCCCUUUUGCCAGGAAUCCUUAGAUAUGUCUCUGAGGGAGAUCUGACUGCUGUUUUCCCAAAACAGCACCUCCUGUCAGCAGGAAGCAAUUAAGAUUGGUCUUUGUCCUUAUCCUUAUCCUUAUUCUAAUGGCAGUUAGAUGUACUUCUUUAGAAUGGAGAAGGUAAAAAGGUCUCCAAGUAAAAAGGUCUCCCCGGAGAACCUCCGACCAGCCUGUGCACUGGGAGGACAGGCUGGGGCCUUGGGAAGUUCAUGCCAUUUGCAAGAAAGAGGAGCCUGACCCCUCCUAUUCCUGUGUGGUAACUGGGGAUUCAAUCUGUGAGGCAGAAAGCUUGCUAGCAGCACUCUCACUUUGC
rnacentral:lncRNA from 10 species